rnacentral:lncRNA from 1 species
GGGCAAAUGUGGACAGAAAGGAUACUGUGUAGGAACAAGCCAAAAAAACCCUCCCUGCCCCAGCUUCCACCUCCAAAAGAGGCUUCACCUGCCGGCUGUUUAAACGUUACGUUUGAGGGUUCGAGGUCAGGAGAGGGAGAACAGGUUGAUCCCAGGAUGCCGGGCACCUGUUGGGGAAUCAGCAGCAACCUGGGGGCCGGGGGGUCUGUUCCAGGUCGGGCAACUCUGCCCCUUCCUGGCUCCUCUUACAGAACAUGGUGGCAAGGGAUUCCUGGGGAAAAGAGGCAGAUGCAGGCCCGAGGCUCUGCCCUGGACCUGGCAGCAGCCUCAGGGAGCCCACGGUUGCCUGCAGCAGUCAGACACUUGCUCUGUUUUUCUGCCCCAUCCUAAAUGAAAAGAGGCUGGAGAGAGCGUUGUGUGCGGGUCAGGCACCUGUUCCUGGCAGGAAGGAAAGGCAAGAGAAGGGAGUCUCUCUCACCUCCCCGAUCCCUCCUCUUCCAUCUGCUUGGAGUUCUUGCUCCCUGGUUUGAAACAUUGCCGUGACUGUGCCCCUGGUACACAUUAAAAGGCUUUGGGGUUUAUUUUUAUUUCGCUUGGCUCAGAGGGAUGGAAAGAUGGUCUGGUUUGGCAGCUGCCUGCAGGGAGGACCUUGGGGUGUCCAAGAAAAUCAGUGUGUGCUUUAAAAGAAAUCAGGCGGGAUGACAGGAAAUCGGGAGGCGGUGCCAGGAGGAGCUCACACUCCCUCCUCUAUCUCGGUGAGGGGAGGGGCGGUAGGCCCAGAGUGGCUGGGACAGGUCGGGGAGGCAGAUGACAGGAAGAGGCCCAGGCAGCAGAGCAGCCACCUCCACGCAGGCCUGGGGCCUU